GAUGAACGCUAGCGGCAGGCUUAAUACAUGCAAGUCGAGGGGCAGCAUGACUGUAGCAAUACAGUUGAUGGCGACCGGCAAACGGGUGCGGAACACGUACAGAACCUUCCUUCGAGCGGGGAAUAGCCCAGAGAAAUUUGGAUUAAUACCCCAUAGUACAUUGGAGUGGCAUCACUUUAAUGUUAAAGAUUUAUCACUUGAAGAUGGCUGUGCGGCUGAUUAGGUAGUUGGCGGGGUAACGGCCCACCAAGCCUGCGAUCAGUAACUGGUGUGAGAGCACGACCAGUCACACGGGCACUGAGACACGGGCCCGACUCCUACGGGAGGCAGCAGUAAGGAAUAUUGGUCAAUGGACGAAAGUCUGAACCAGCCAUGCCGCGUGGAGGAUGAAGGUCCUCUGGAUUGUAAACUUCUUUUAUAUGGGACGAAAAAGGCUUUUCUAAGUCGUCUGACGGUACCAUAUGAAUAAGCACCGGCUAACUCCGUGCC
rnacentral:rRNA from 1 species